AUUGAACGCUGGCGGCAGGCCUAGCACAUGCAAGUCGAGCGGAUGAAGGGAGCUUGCUCCUGGAUUCAGCGGCGGACGGGUGAGUAAUGCCUAGGAAUCUGCCUGGUAGUGGGGGAUAACGUCCGGAAACGGGCGCUAAUACCGCAUACGUCCUGAGGGAGAAAGUGGGGGAUCUUCGGACCUCACGCUAUCAGAUGAGCCUAGGUCGGAUUAGUUAGUUGGUGGGGUAAAGGCCUACCAAGGCGACGAUCCGUAACUGGUCUGAGAGGAUGAUCAGUCACACUGGAACUGAGACACGGUCCAGACUCCUACGGGAGGCAGCAGUGGGGAAUAUUGGACAAUGGGCGAAAGCCUGAUCCAGCCAUGCCGCGUGUGUGAAGAAGGUCUUCGGAUUGUAAAGCACUUUAAGUUGGGAGGAAGGGCAGUAAGUUAAUACCUUGCUGUUUUGACGUUACCAACAGAAUAAGCACCGGCUAACUUCGUG
rnacentral:rRNA from 1 species